rnacentral:rRNA from 1 species
ACGGGAGGCAGCAGUGGGGAAUAUUGCACAAUGGGGGAAACCUGAUGCAGCGACGCCGCGUGAGCGAAGAAGUAUUUCGGUAUGUAAAGCUCUAUCAGCAGGGAAGAAAAUGACGGUACCUGACUAAGAAGCCCCGGCUAACUACGUGCCAGCAGCCGCGGUAAUACGUAGGGGGCAAGCGUUAUCCGGAUUUACUGGGUGUAAAGGGAGCGUAGACGGAGCAGCAAGUCUGAUGUGAAAACCCGGGGCUCAACCCCGGGACUGCAUUGGAAACUGUUGAUCUGGAGUGCCGGAGAGGUAAGCGGAAUUCCUAGUGUAGCGGUGAAAUGCGUAGAUAUUAGGAGGAACACCAGUGGCGAAGGCGGCUUACUGGACGGUAACUGACGUUGAGGCUCGAAAGCGUGGGGAGCAAACAGGAUUAGAUACCCUGGUAGUCCACGCCGUAAACGAUGACUACUAGGUGUCGGGUGGCAAAGCCAUUCGGUGCC